rnacentral:rRNA from 1 species
UACGAAGGUGGCAAGCGUUGUUCGGAUUCACUGGGCGUACAGGGUGUGUAGGCGGUUUGGUAAGCCUUCUGUUAAAGCUUCGGGCCCAACCCGGAAAGCGCAGAGGGUACUGCCAGGCUAGAGGGCGGGAGAGGAGCGCGGAAUUCCCGGUGUAGCGGUGAAAUGCGUAGAGAUCGGGAGGAACACCUGUGGCGAAGGCGGCCAGCUGGGCCGACCCUGACGCUGAGGCGCGAAGGCGUGGGGAGCGAACGGGG